UCAAGUGAAUAAGUGCACAUGGUGGAUGCCUUGGCGGCAACAGGCGAUGAAGGACGUAGUAAUCUGCGAUAAGCCUAGGGGAGCUGAUAAACACGCUUUGAUCCUAGGAUUUCCGAAUGGGGAAACCCACCUGAUUUAUCAGGUAUCCUUAACUGAAUACAUAGGUUAAGGAGGCGAACCCGGGGAACUGAAACAUCUAAGUACCCGGAGGAAAAGAAAUCAACCGAGAUUCCCUUAGUAGCGGCGAGCGAACGAGGCCUUAAGUUGAUAACGUUUUAGUAGAAUGCUCUGGAAAGUGCAGCAAUAGUGGGUGAUAGCCCCGUACACGAAAAGACGUUUUCAAUGAAAUCGAGUAGGGCGGGACACGUGAUAUCCUGUCUGAACAUGGGGGGCCCACCCUCCAAGCCUAAAUACUAGUUGCCGACCGAUAGUGAACCAGUACCGUGAGGGAAAGGCGAAAAGAACCCCUUUUAGGGGAGUGAAAUAGAACCUGAAACCGUGUGCAUACAAGCAGUAGGAGCUCUUCGUGAGUGACUGCGUACCUUUUGUAUAAUGGGUCAACGACUUACUUUUAGUGGCAAGCUUAACCGUAUAGGGGAGGCGUAGAGAAAUCGAGUCUUAAUAGGGCGUCGAGUCGCUAGGAGUAGACCCGAAACCGGGCGAUCUAUCCAUGGUCAGGUUGAAGGUGGGGUAACACCUACUGGAGGACCGAACCCACUUAUGUUGAAAAAUGAGGGGAUGAACUGUGGAUAGGAGUGAAAGGCUAAUCAAGCCCGGAGAUAGCUGGUUCUCCUCGAAAUCUAUUUAGGUAGAGCCUCGUGUAUAACUGUUGGGGGUAGAGCACUGUUAUGGCUAGGGGGUCAUCCCGACUUACCAACCCAUUGCAAACUCCGAAUACCGACAAGUUUCAGCACGGGAGACAGACUGCGGGUGCUAACGUCCGUUGUCAAGAGGGAAACAACCCAGACCACCAGCUAAGGUCCCUAAAUAUAGCUCAGUGGGAAACGAUGUGAGAAGGCACAGACAGCCAGGAGGUUGGCUUAGAAGCAGCCACCCUUUAAAGAAAGCGUAAUAGCUCACUGGUCGAGUCGGCUCGCGCGGAAGAUGUAACGGGGCUUAAGCUAUAUACCGAAGCUGUGGAUUCAUACUUAUGUAUGAGUGGUAGAGGAGCGUUCUGUAAGCCUGUGAAGGUGUUCUGUAAGGAAUGCUGGAGGUAUCAGAAGUGCGAAUGUUGACGUGAGUAACGAUAAUGCGGGUGAGAAACCCGCACGCCGAAAACCCAAGGUUUCCUGCGCAACGCUAAUCGGCGCAGGGUUAGUCGGCUAAGGCGAGGCCGAAAGGCGUAGUCGAUGGGAAACAGGUUAAUAUUCCUGUACCUCUUUUAACUGCGAUGGGGGGACGGAGAAGGGUAGACCAUCCGGGUGUUGGAUGUCCCGGUUUAAGCGAGUAGGCGGGGAAGGCAGGCAAAUCCACUUUCCUAUGAAACGCCAAGACGUGAUGACGAGAGCUUUAAGCUCAUAAAGUGGUUAAUCCCAUGCUUCCAAGAAAAGCCUCUAAGCUUCAGGUUAUAAGAGACCGUACCGAAAACCGACUCAGGUGGGCGGGCAGAAAAUGCCAAGGUGAUUGAGAUAACUCUGGUUAAGGAACUCGGCAAAAUAACACCGUAACUUCGGGAGAAGGUGUGCCUCCAUUAGGUGAUACGACUUGCUCGUGGAGCCGAAGGGGGUCGCAGAGAAAUGGCGGUAGCGACUGUUUACUAAAAACACAGCACUCUGCAAACUCGUAAGAGGAAGUAUAGGGUGUGACGCCUGCCCGGUGCCGGAAGGUUAAUUGAUGGGGUUAGUCCUCGGACGAAGCUCUUGAUCGAAGCCCCGGUAAACGGCGGCCGUAACUAUAACGGUCCUAAGGUAGCGAAAUUCCUUGUCGGGUAAGUUCCGACC
rnacentral:rRNA from 1 species